AGAGCGAACGCUGGCGGCAGGCUUAACACAUGCAAGUCGAGCGGGCGUAGCAAUACGUCAGCGGCAGACGGGUGAGUAACGCGUGGGAACAUACCUUUUGGUUCGGAACAACCCAGGGAAACUUGGGCUAAUACCGGAUAAGCCCUUACGGGGAAAGAUUUAUCGCCGAAAGAUUGGCCCGCGUCUGAUUAGCUAGUUGGUGAGGUAACGGCUCACCAAGGCGACGAUCAGUAGCUGGUCUGAGAGGAUGAUCAGCCACAUUGGGACUGAGACACGGCCCAAACUCCUACGGGAGGCAGCAGUGGGGAAUAUUGGACAAUGGGCGCAAACCUGAUCCAGCCAUGCCGCGUGAGUGAUGAAGGCCCUAGGGUUGUAAAGCUCUUUGUGCGGGAAGAUAAUGACGGUACCGCAAGAAUAAGCCCGGCUAACUUCGCGCCAGCAGCCGC
rnacentral:rRNA from 1 species